GACGAACGCUGGCGGCGUGCUUAACACAUGCAAGUCGAACGGAAAGGCCCUGCUUUUGUGGGGUGCUCGUGUGGCGAACGGGGGAGUAAAACGUGUGUAACCUGCCCUUGACUUUGGGAUAAAUUCAGGAAAAUGGGGCGAAUACCGGGUAGGAGCUCCUGCUGCAUGGGGGUGGAUGGAAAGAGUCGGCGGUGGGGGAUGGAUUGGCGGCUUACGAGCUGGUUGGGGGGGUAGUGGCGGACCAAGGCUAUGACGGGUAGCCGGCCUGAGAGGGGGACCGGCGACAUUGGGACUGCGGUACGGCCCAGACUCCUACGGGCGGCAGCAGUGGGGAAUAUUGCAGAGUGGGCGGAAGCGUGUUGCAGCAGCGCCGCGAGCGGGAUGCCGGGUUUCGGGUUGUAAACCGCUUUCGCCGGUGCCGAAGCGUGAGUGACGGUAAUGAGUAAAGAAGCACCGGCUAACUACGUG
rnacentral:rRNA from 1 species